rnacentral:rRNA from 1 species
UACGUAGGGUGCGAGCGUUGUCCGGAAUUACUGGGCGUAAAGAGCUCGUAGGUGGUUUGUCGCGUUGUUCGUGAAAACUCACAGCUCAACUGUGGGCGUGCGGGCGAUACGGGCAGACUGGAGUACUGCAGGGGAGACUGGAAUUCCUGGUGUAGCGGUGGAAUGCGCAGAUAUCAGGAGGAACACCGGUAGCGGAAGGCGGGUCUCUGGGCAGUAACUGACGUGGAGGAGCGAAAGCGUGGGGAGCGAACAGGAAUUAGAACGUCCGUGUCAGUCCAAGCC